rnacentral:rRNA from 1 species
UACGUAGGGGGCUAGCGUUGUCCGGAAUCAUUGGGCGUAAAGCGCGUGUAGGCGGUCCGGUAAGUCCGCUGUGAAAGUCCAGGGCUCAACCCUGGGAUGCCGGUGGAUACUGUCGGGCUCGAGUCCGGAAGAGGCGAGUGGAAUUCCUGGUGUAGCGGUGAAAUGCGCAGAUAUCGGGAAGAACACCCGUGGCGAAGGCGGUUCUCUGGGACGGUACUGACGCUGAGACGCGAAAGCGUGGGGAGCAAACAGG